rnacentral:rRNA from 1 species
GACGAAGGAUGCAAGCGUUAUCCGGAUUCAUUGGGUUUAAAGGGUGCGUAGGUGGGCAGGUAAGUCAGUGGUGAAAUCUCCGGGCUUAACUCGGAAACUGCCAUUGAUACUAUCUUUCUUGAAUACCGUGGAGGUCAGCGGAAUAUGUCAUGUAGCGGUGAAAUGCUUAGAUAUGACAUAGAACACCAAUUGCGAAGGCAGCUGGCUACACGAAUAUUGACACUGAUGCACGAAAGCGUGGGGAUCAAACAGG